rnacentral:lncRNA from 1 species
ACUUGUCACACUUCCAUCAAACAGUACCUGCCCCUUAGGUGUGCUAGGGAAUAAAUGAAAUGCCUGGGACAUCAUCGUUAAGUGGCAUCUGAUGCAUAAGCAGUGCCCUAGGAAUGGGGUUGCCUGCCUUGGUCUCUAAAGGAUGGGUUCAAAAGGCAAGAGCAGCACACAAGAAGAUAGCUUCAAGCAGGAGAUAAAGCUUGGCCCAGGGCCCAAAGGGGAUACGACCCUUCAGGUUGGCCCUGACCUCUGGGUUGGAUUACCAGUGACACAAUGAACAUUUCAUUAUGAGGCCAUCCCUUGAGCAAACUGACAUGCUGAAAGCUGCCCUAUGGAGAGGCUCAUGUGGCAAGGAACAGAGGGUGGCUUCUGGCCAACACCCAGUGAGGAACUCAGGCCCUCAGUCAAACAGCCUGCAAGGAACUGAACCCUGCCAAUAACCAUAUCAUCACGUAUAAUUCUAGAGGCAGUGUCAGCCCCCGGCCAAUGACCACCAUGGACCUCCCUGUAGUUGAACAAAGUUGGGUUUGCUGACUGGUGGCAGUGAGGGAGAAUGCACACCACAGGGAGCUGUGCAGUGUCUCAGUAAGAAGCCAGGAGCCAUCCCGUGAGGCCGUUACUGCAAACAAGCUGAAAAUCCUGCUUUGUUUCUUUUGGACACAACAUGCUUUCCUUCAGCUUCAGUAGACGAUGAGGCCAGCACCACAUGGGCUAGAUGUACAUGAGAUGUGAGCAACCACACUUCCCCUCUGACGGGGACAGACAGCAUCACAGGACAUGAAGUUCUAAGAGGUUCAGUGACUUGUCUAAGAUUAAACAGCUAUGAAUGGAGAACUGGAGGCAAAUGCCUCAUCAUCUCUCACCUGGGCAACUGCAACAAUGAGCAGUUUGUGUCUGUGCCUGCAUCCAUCCUUCCAUCCUGUACUCCAGCAGCAGCCAGGGUGGUCUUUCAAAAAUGCAAAGCUGAUAAUGUUACUCCCCUGCUGUAAACCUUCCAGCGGUUUCCUAUUGCCUUCAGAAUAAAAUACGAAUCAUCUGGCCUCCA